rnacentral:rRNA from 1 species
GUGCCAGCAGCCGCGGUAAUACAGGGGGGGCAAGCGUUGUUCGGAAUUACUGGGCGUAAAGGGCCAGUAGGCGGCUAACUAAGUCCGACGUGAAAUCCCCAGGCUUAACUUGGGAACUGCGUCGGAUACUGGUUGGCUUGAAUUCGGGAGAGGGAUGCAGAAUUCCAGGUGUAGCGGUGAAAUGCGUAGAUAUCUGGAGGAAUACCGGUGGCGAAGGCGGCAUCCUGGACCGACAUUGACGCUGAACGGCGAAAGCUAGGGGAGCAAACGGGAUUAGAUACCCCAGUAGUCC